AAAAAUAAACAGUAUCAUUGUAUACAUUUCCUAGUAUAAGUUUGAUUUUUUACAUAAAGUUGCAAACUUUUUUCAUUCUUGAAAGUGUGCUUCUACGUUAAAUAAUCAAAGUAAGGCACACAUUCAAACUCUAUUGAAAGAUGCAGUUCUGACGUUGGAAUCUUACAAUGACUUGAAAAAUCUACUUUUAUUCUUAUUUAUGAAAUUUAAAGCUUGAAAAUGGUACCGAGUAAAUCUAUAAACUCAUGAAAAUCUUGAAAACGACAAUCUACAAAUUGUGUUAUGAGAUGCAUUAUUUUUAAGAUUUGAAAUCUUUCUUUUUCUUUUCUUCAUAACCACAUAACUUGCGGUUGAGAUGAUCAAUUAAAGGGCAUUCUAGCUUCAAAACAACCUUUUCUCAGGGGUUUUUGAAGAGGGCAUUCUUCUACAGUAUAAGUUUGAUACUUUUUAUUGGGAAUGGGGUU
rnacentral:lncRNA from 1 species